rnacentral:rRNA from 1 species
GGAUAACCUACCCUUGAGAUGGGGAUAAACCCGGGAAACUGGGUAUAAUACCCGAUAGAUCUCGACUGCUGGAAUGCAUCGAGAUCCAAAGCUCCGGCGCUCAAGGAUGGGUCUGCGGCCUAUCAGGUAGUAGUGGGUGUAGCGUACCUACUAGCCUACGACGGGUACGGGUUGUGAGAGCAAGAGCCCGGAGAUGGAUUCUGAGACACGAAUCCAGGCCCUACGGGGUGCAGCAGGCGCGAAAACUUUACAAUGCUGGAAACAGCGAUAAGGGGACCUCGAGUGCCAGGUUACAAAUCUGGCUGUCGUGAUGCCUAAAAAGCAUUGCAUAGCAAGGGCCGGGCAAGACCGGUGCCAGCCGCCGCGGUAACACCGGCGGCUCGAGUGGUAACCGUUAUUAUUGGGUCUAAAGGGUCUGUAGCCGGCCGGAUAAGUCUCUUGGGAAAUCUGGCAGCUUAACUGUCAGGCUUUCAGGAGAUACUGUCUGGCUCGAGGCCGGGAGAGGUGAGAAGUACUUCAGGGGUAGGGGUGAAAUCUUGUAAUCCUUGAAGGACCACCAGUGGCGAAGGCGUCUCACCAGAACGGACCUGACGGCAAGGGACGAAAGCUAGGGGCACGAACCGGAUUAGAUACCCGGGUAGUCCUAGCCGUAAACGAUACUCGCUAGGUGUCGGCAACGGUGCGACCGUUGUCGGUGCCGUAGGGAAGCCGUGAAGCGAGCCACCUGGGAAGUACGGCCGCAAGGCUGAAACUUAA